GUUGUUUGGCUAACUGCUGUCGUGCGGACUGCGACACUCUUGCGCUCAAUCAGAGCUGAUUUGGAGGAGGGUGGCUUCUUGCUCGGAGCGGAGUCAGUGCACAGAACACACUCACAAGAGCGAAUCACCGCCUUUCCAAGAAGUACGUCUGAAGUACUAUACGUUGUGAGAAGGUUGUUGUUUUGCAUCCUCAUGGCCACCGCUGAGCAAAACUCCCGAAUAUGUCAAGCAAGACGCCACGCUGCCAUCUUGGAUCACUUCCACUCGUAAUGUGUGCAUGCUGGCCAAGGGCAAGUGUUUCCCAUGCAGUCCUGUCACUGAUACCACAUCCAGGAAUUAGGGCUGCUUGUUUCCUCAUCACUUGUCAAGAGUUUCCCUGUAAAACUCGCCACGCUGAGCAUCCUCCAUCACCAACGGCCCUGCUUGACAGAAGCCAUUUUCUGUGAUGUAGACCACUGGGUCACCAAAUGUGCCCUGGAAAGCGAAGGACAAAUGAAUGGUUUCCAUAGUUCAAGGCGUAACAAUGAAGACACGGCGGCAAACAGGAAAUCUAAUCUAGCCGCAGUCUCAUUAGUGAUUUGGAAUUGGUUUGGCUUUGCAGCAUGGGAAUAGAGAAAAAAAUUAAAAAUUCUCACACGAUAGCCUAGUAGUACUGUACCUCUGUAUCUUUCUAUCCUCUCUACAAGAUUAUUUUCCUUACAAAAUGAUUUUUAUGAAAAGUA